UACAACUUCUGACAGAACCAAACUGCCUC
rnacentral:piRNA from 1 species